rnacentral:tRNA from 1 species
CUGGUGGUGGUUCAGUGGUGGAAUUCUUGCCUUCCAUGUAGGAGACCUGGGUUUAAUUUCCAGCCAAUACG